rnacentral:ncRNA from 12 species
UCCCGCCCACUAAAAAGAUGCCUUUGGCAUCCUGCUCGGCUGAUCCCCGAGCUAGGUGGGCGGGUUUCU